rnacentral:rRNA from 1 species
UACGUAGGGUGCAAGCGUUGUCCGGAAUUAUUGGGCGUAAAGAGCUCGUAGGCGGUCUGUCGCGUCGGAUGUGAAAAUCCAGGGCUCAACCCUGGACCUGCAUUCGAUACGGGCAGACUAGAAUUCGGUAGGGGAGUCUGGAAUUCCUGGUGUAGCGGUGAAAUGCGCAGAUAUCAGGAGGAACACCGGUGGCGAAGGCGGGACUCUGGGCCGAUAUUGACGCUGAGGAGCGAAAGCGUGGGGAGCGAACAGG